UGGGUUGGGCGCGGCUGCGAACGUCUCGGCGGUGGGGCGGCUGUGUGCCUUCCCGGCCCGGGUGUGUGUGUGGAGGGGGCGCCGCGAACCCCGCGGUCUCGCCGGCGCGGGCCUCUCACGCGCUCCGUCCCCGCAAGGGCCACACCCGGACCGCGGGGCUUCCCGGUGCAGUCCGCUCCUGAAAGGUUUCCUGAGAGCCGAUUAGGCCGUGGUUUUUACCAGAAUGGAAAAAAAAAAAAGGCUUCUGCUCCUUCAGUCACAGAGAGAGAGAGAGGCAGAGACACAGGCAGAGGGAGAAGCAGGCUCCAUGCACCGGGAGCCCGACGUGGGAUUCGAUCCCGGGUCUCCAGGAUCGCGCCCUGGGCCAAAGGCAGGCGCCAAACCGCUGCGCCACCCAGGGAUCCCCAGGGAAGCCUUCUUGAAGAAAAUAUGGCUGGGCAGACUCUGAAGGAGAGCUAGUGGCCGGCCAGUGAAGAACGGAGGAGGGCAUCUUGGGCAGCCAAGACAGCAUAUUCAAAGGCUCAGCAUCAUGAGAAGCAUGGGAGCAAUGCAAUAUUUCUACUUACCUAUAUAAGGAAGUCUAUAAAAGGCCUGAAAAUACAAAAUUCUCUGAAGAAGUAUGCGGUCCUAAAAAGAAAUAUCAAAUACCCACAUGGUAUUGUGGGCUGAGCAGGGCCAUUGAAGUCAGAUCGAGGUUCCAUUAGGUCCAGACACAGGGAUGGAAGUUAGAAGCUAAGAUUGGGUAAUGAGACAGAGAAGAGAGGGCAGGGGCUCAACAGCACUCAGUGUUCAGUGACUGGCUGUUCAGUGAUUGGCUGUAAGUGGAAGGGGUAUAGCAUCCCCUGGAGUAUUAGAAGCACACCUGGGCCCAUUAGGAGUUGUGAAGGAGACCACAACCCAUAAUCCCAGCCCUUGGCGAAGUGGGUCCCUGGUUUAGAUGAUGAAAACCACCUUAGCUCCACCCACAGCUGAUGCAUGGCCUUGUCCUUGUCCUAUGCUGUCCUAACCCCCAAGAACAGAUAACCAGUCCCUGCAUCGUUAUCUUCUGGCCUACUCUGCAGGCCACACAGGGUCUAGGCAAGGUCAAUGACUUCCACAAAGCAAGCUGGCAAGUUCUUAGGAUUUAGGCCACACCACAGGAUCUCUGGGGAUUUCACAUUUUUAUUCACUUGGCAGAUUGCCCCACAUGCUCUUUGGGUUAAGCUGAGUGUGAUCCUAGAAGGGCCAUGCAGUAAAUAUACCGAGGAGAACCUGCCUCCAUACGUAGCCGUUAGAACUUUCGUUCCUCGAAGAAUAUCUAGACUUUUAGUUUAGUUUUAGUUUUGCUUUUCUAUCUUCAAAGAAUGCUCUAGACCUAAUUUUUUAGUUUGACUCUUCAGCUCUAACUUUCAGAUUUGUUUUCAUGCGUUGAUUUUAUCUUCUCACCUUUAGCAAAACAUAAUCCAGGAUGUAUGAUUCAGCUGAAUCCACACUUAGCUUUUCUAAAGUGGAUAUUUUUGUACAUUAGUGUGUGAGGCUUGUGAAGAAGAGAUUUUUUUUACUUUCCAUAAAAUUUCUUGCUCAGUGGUUUCUUAACUAUGGGUUUUCAUCACAUACUUGGUGGGUGAGAUGUUUAGGUUUUGAGGGUUCUAAGCCAGCCAACAAUGUCAUGAAAUCAACCACUGUGUCAAUGUUGUGCUUCUGGGUGGUCGUGUCCUUCAAAGCACAUAAGACGCUCAACCAGCUGAAAGAGAUGAGCUCAGAGAUAUUGGCUCGGAGGAAAAGAAGGAUCACGUUGAGGUCAUUGAUGGGGCAUCCCAGCAUCUUUCUGCUGAGAAGAUCAAAAGCGGGGAGCAUCUCGUAGAUGGAUAGGAGUCGUUUGUCCCACCGACAUAGUCGGGUGAGGUUGUAUAUUAUCACUGGCACCAAGAGGGUGUAUAUUGUUAUACUGGAGAGACUAACAAUUUGCAGAACUGACAGAGAGGUCAGCCUGCAUGUGAUCAGUUGGGGCAUGUGGGUCUCAUCACUUAGCAGCCCUGUCUUGACGGAGCAGCUGAAUUCCUCUUGGAAGAAGACAUCCAGGUGGAAGUGGCCAAGGUACAGGUAGAUGGCUGAGGUGAAGAGGAGCAAGAGGGAGUUCCUCAGGAGGUAGGUAGCCACUAGGGAAUGUGAGCGCUGCUUACAUGCCAGGUACCGCUCUAGCAAGGGGAAUUCAAAGUAUCGUUCCUUCCGAGCCCUGGGCAGGGGAAGAAAGGAGGCAGGGUUAGGAGAGACCCAUUUAGAACCACAUCUGGAGAGAGCCACGUGGGGAAAGUAAUGGAAUUUGUGCAUCCGACGUGGCGUUCUUGGCUCACACGAAAAUCUGCCUUCCCUGAGCAUAACCACUCCUCUCCCUAAAGAGGUGUGUGAGUAUACUUAAUUCUGCAACUGUUGAGUGCAAGGUGGUCAACCCAGUGAAUGACCAGUGAAUAACAAAUGGUCACACUGGCUUUCUGCCCAGCAAAGCAGACUAAACCUUGAAGCUGAAACAGAAUCCUUUGGAAGCAAUAGGUUUAUUAAAUUAGCACUGAAUUGGGAAGUCUAGAUAACCACAUUCUGGUUCUCGGUCUGUAUACUCUGUGUAUGAUUUGUAGGCCACUCCAUUUUAUAAAAAAUUAAUAUGCUAAAAACAAAUAUGCCUAAUAAAUAAUAGGCAUUGGUUGGGAGCUGUGGUGUUCAGGCACAUGUAAGCCAGCCUCUGCUUCGAAGAAGUUUACCAUCUGGCCUGUGGGGAAGAUGGCAGAUAAGAUAUGCAAAUAGGCAAUAAAAAUUGUGCUUGAUUUGUGGCUAAAUUGAUGGGUACACACCACGGUGUUGUAGAAGUUAGGAGAGAGGUGACUCAUGGGCCGGAGUGUUCAGAAACCUUUACAGAGAGUAUAAGAGUUGGUUUUCAAGAGGUUGAGUUCAGAAAGAUAGACGGGAGAGGAGCUCUUUUCAGAGGAAAAAUUAUGUGCCCAAACAUGAGAGACGGAAUAGUGUCAGGUCUCAGCUCAGCGCUCCUCUUGAUGGGGCCUCCCUUGGCCGCCCUAUUUAAAGCUGCCCCACUCCACAGCUUCCCAGCUUUCCUGACCCCCUCACCUGGCUUUACUUUCCUUUCAUACCCCUCAUCUUCUGCCGUAUAAUUUGCUUAUGUGUUGUGUUUACCUGUUGUCCGUUUCCCCUCAAUAGAAUGUGAGCCCCCUAAGGGUAGGUGUAGCUUGGUCUCCUCCCCACCCCCGCCCCCAACACACACAGCGCACACUGAUGGAUCCCAGGCACCCAGAACGGCACCUGCGAUGCCAGUAAAUGAUGCAUGAAUGCUUAAGCGAACGAAUGGUUAGUCAGGAGAAGAGGAGACUGCCUGGGUGGAGCGGGAGGUCACUGGGUGGUCAGAGGUGUGAAAAAGUGGUUGGUGACAGUGUGUAGAGGGCCUUGGAGAAAUACUUGGGAGAAUUUGGGCCUUUUUUAGUAGGCAUGGGGGGAGGUUCUGAGCAGGGGAAUGGUAUGUGGCAGUGGUACAUUAGAGAGAUUAGCCCCUUUGGGACUCAGGGUGUUCAUCUGUAAACUGAGGAAGAGUCCUUGUUCUCCCUGUACAGAAAUAAUGGAGAGUUAGUGAGAUGCUGUGUAAAUACUUUGGAUUCCUGAGAAGGAUGGUACAGAGAAUGGUUCAAAGAUGACCCUGCAAUGAUACCAUGUUAACGCUCAGCUGAGCCCUUCAGAAAGGGAUGGGAGACAACUCACUUCUCCAGCUCAUCCCAGAAAACAUGGGGGUCUGAGCUCUUCUGCUGGAUCUUCAACAUGUGCUGCACCAGGCGGAUGGAGCGAUUAUAGGAUUUGUCCAGUUCACUGAUGAUGAACAGCAGAUCUGAGCUGAGGGCUGGUGCAGCUGCAUACUGCCACAGCAGAACUGUUCUUAUCACCAGACAUCUGGAGUCUGUUUGCUUUCCAAGCCCAGCCAGGCAUCCCACUAUUGCUGAGAUGAGGAGGUCCAAUCCCGCAUCGUCUAUACGGCCUCCCCUCCUGUGCAGUGGUCUUUUCAUCUCUGCAUUUGUGGUCACAUCACGACACCAGCAGGCACCGUCUUGGGAUCCUUUGGGGGCUACCUCUGUUAUGUAUGUAUACAAGCUGACAUUGAGGUGUGUCCUCAACUAUACAACUUGCUGCUGAGAUAAGCCACUAUCUUGCCCACAGUAAAAACUCUACUUGUGAUGGGCGUUUUGAACCUACAUUUGUGUUAGGUGCUUCACAUGCGUAUUUCAUUUGAUCUUCAGGAGGAUGCUGGCAGGCAGGCGCUAUUAACAUCUGUCUUACAAGGAGAUGGAAACAUGAGAAGGUUAGGUGACCUGUACGGGGUUACACAUCUCGUGGGUGGGUGAGCAGGAUCGGGAAGUAGGCAGUCUGUAGUAGUAAGGAAGGAAGUAAGUAAGUAGUCCUUAAGCUUAUUCCCUUAAGGACUACUUGACUAUAGCUUCUCCUGAAGCAGGGAUGCUUUUUGUUUUAGAGGAGGGUUUGAAAAAGAGUUUGGCUGCAUAUUUGGUUGCAGCUAGGUAGAAGAAAACGGGGUGUUGUGUGUGUUUUUUUUCUAAACUAAACACCAGAGACAGGUUAGGAAAACUAUGCCAGUCCACUAGAGAAAAUCACUUUUAAUUUCAAGAGAUAGCAUUUCUUGAAAAUAAACUUGACCCCCAGAGAGUCUGUUUGAAUAGUUUGAAGUGGAGGCAGAGAAUCGGUUUAAAGAGCGCUUAGGCGAUACAGUCAGACAGUUUGACUCUUUUCUGACAUUUGAAUCUCGUCUGCAAUAUCUUGACCUUGUUGCCAUCUGGAUCCUGCUUGAAGACUUCCAGUGACAAAGACCCCCAUGAACUCUUUCCAUUAAGUCUCUGGUUUUGUCUGGGUCCCAGACCCAUGUGGCCUUUGGAGGCCUUGUAAAUUGUCAUAACUGGUAAAUGUCAGGAGUGACUUCCGAUUCAACAUUGUGAAUUGGACACACACAUGACUUCUGCUCCCUCACAAAGCCCCAAGAGAAUGACAAUAAAGGGAUUAAAAAAAAAAAAAGACCUUAUUCUAUAAGGACAAGGAAAACAGGAGACAAGAGCCAUAAAAUGUUGCAAGCCAGAAAGCAGUAGCAUGCUAGGAAAUAGCAGCCCGUGGCAGGAUGGGGAGUUGAGGCAGGCCAGGCAAGCUGUUUUUGUGCCACAGAGCCAGAAAGACUCAGGAAUUGCAGAUAUGAGGUACAUCUGAAAAUGAGGGGGCAGGUGGGGCUGCAAACAGGAAUAUUGACAAAACAGACACACAGAUCUUCUCUGUAACAUGCACUUAUCGAGCGACUGCCCUUUCCAUCCCCUGGCGGAAGGCCUGUGGUUCACCCCUUGGAAACAUUAAAGAGCUUCUUCACUGGGGUCCAUUAGGGGCAGAGCAACAGCAAUGAGAACCGAGUAAAUUGAGUGAAUACUGAGUGCUGAGACCCUGGAGGGUUGGCAGCGGAGCUUAGUACUAUCUGCACCCUGCCUCCCCCCUGCACAGAUUAAGGAACCAGUGAUUCUUCUUGGAACCGGCGCAAGAGAAAAGAUUACACAUUCCAAUACUUGAGGUUUUCCUAGUGAACUGGCCCAGAGGGUUCACUGUAAACAGAAGGCUGGUCAGCCAGCCUCACUCAUAGGCAUGAAGCUUCCAAUCGGACAAAAGUGAGCCGCCAAAGCUCACCAGACACUUGAAGAAACAUGAGAGUCAAAGAUGAAAAUGAAAAAGCAGGGGUGCAGGGUGGCGAAGGGGCCAGAGAGAAGGAUGUGGCUCUGGGCGGCUCCAGGCGCCACCCCGCGGCUGGAUGGAGCCCGGCCCACUUUACCUUGUGAGGCCACAGGGACUUCAUGUGGUGCUGGCCAAGCUCAUCGUGUUGGUGGUGAACGAGCGAGUCCCAGCAGGAGCUGUCCACGUAGGCAGCCUGCCGGGCGCUGAAGUUACUGGGAGAGAAGCAGCGGAUGGGAGGCCCUGGAAUGGGAACACAGCUUGGAGGCGGCCUGGAUUUGGAGCAGUGGAACGGGGGCCCCGGGGACAGCCAGCCCUGGGCUUUCCAGGGGUUGGCUCCACGGCUCUGCCAAUUUCUAUAUCUGGCAGGUCCUUUCUCCUUGCCAUGGCCCGGUUUUGGGGGGCUGCGCUGCCCGAGUCAGCACAGGUCUGUUUGGCUCAGGCCUGUCCAUGUGCUCGCUGACUGGCCUCAGACGUGGUCUCUUUCCCCUCAGAGCUCUCCCUGGACCCCCAGACACGGGGGGCCCCCCUCACUCCUGGUGGGGGUGUGUGUGGUGAGGUCUCUGAGCCCACAGCAGGAGCAAGGGUGAGCAGGCUGUGCUGAAAGGAAAGUGAGCUUGGAGGGAGAGAUUGGUUUUGCCAUCAUUCUCUAGAGAGAGGCAGAAAGGGGGAACCAGUUGUCCUCUCCAUCUUGGGGGUGACCCAAGAGGCAGUGCGAGGUUGACUGGCUCCUUGGGAAAUAGUAAGCUAAUUGCACAGCCAGAAAAGAAAGCCAGAAAUCCCAAUUCUCAGGAAGUCCCCCUUUAAUAGAGGUGGGAAAUUUGCUGAGUCCAUCUAGGGCCUGGAACACCAGAUAUGUGUGUGUGUGUGUUCAUGUUUGGAAUGUAUUUGUUUAGCAUCUCUGAGGUGUCAGGCUCUAAACAUAAGUCCUCAAACCCGGAAGCCCUAGAGGGGGAGGGUAGGUGAAGGCCGAGACCAUGAGAGGCUUGUCUAAAGCAUGGCUAAGGCCAUUAGUGGUCCUACAUUCUGAAAAGAUCACGGAGCCCCAAUCUCUCUCGUCCACGUGAAAAUCUAAAUAAAAGCUUAAUUUAUUGCAAAGAUGCAUAAAUGCAUCUUUAUGCAAUAUAUGUAACAUAUGAAUACUGAGAUCAAAACUAAAUAUUUUUAUUACAAAAGCUGGGAAAUGAUUUUCAAGCUUUUGGCGCCUCUGCUCUGCUGGUGCCCUACACUCAUGCAUCGUCUGCCUCUUGGGUGAUGCUCAGGCCAAAGUUGCGAAAGCUGGACAGUGUGGGGGCUGCCUCAUUUCAGAGCCUAUGCAAAGAGUGAAAAGCAAAGUGGGGUCUCGUGCCCUGGGCCUGGGAAGCCACUUACCGGAGGAGAACUCCUGGGCGAAUGCCAGGGACAUGAGCAACAGGGGGAAGCCCACGGUUAUGAACUUGAUCAUGCGGUCCAGGGGCAGUUCCAGGCGCAGUCCUUGGAGGCGGGAGCCUCGGCGGUCGGGCAGCAGGGCAUCGGACAGCAUGUACUCCGCGGCUGUGUGUGCGAGCGACAUGGUGCCGCGGACCUUCGGGGGGCAGAGGCGGCAGGAAGGGGCCCCGCACAGUGGUGUGUGGGGGGAGAUGGAGAUGGCAGCUUCAGGCAGCUGGGUUGAGUGGACAGCGCCUGCAGCCCCAGCCCUGCAGAGAUCUGUGCUAGGAGCAGGCCCUGGUUCUCUAAAUAACCAGCCAGGCCCUGAGCCAGGCAUCUGGUAAUUAGAGGGAGGCAGAGAUUAGUGGGUCCUCACUGGAGGAGGGUCGGGUGUCAGCUGGGGCUGGUGCCAGGCUGCUCGCUCUGGAUUGCCCCCGAGCAGAUGCAGUCCUGUGGCUUUAUGCUGUCCUCUCAUUAAUAAAGUAUUUUUGGUGGGGUGGUGGAGAGAAGGAGGGUUGUAGAGCCAGGCCCCCCGUGUAAUUGGUGUGGAAUUUGGGUGGAGAUUGCUUAAACGUGUUGAAGGCCCUCAUCUUGUGGUUAGGGUGGGAGUGGAGCCCCCAAGACCCAGCUAGGACUGUUGCUCCAUAGUAUUCUUUGUCUCUGUGAUGAUUUUUGCCUCGGGCCCAGGCUCUUUCCCAGAAACUAUAUUUGCUGUUCAAUUUUUUCCCUUGCCUCUGGUCUUCUCCCACAAUGUUUCAGCCACGUAUUUACAAUUUCCAUAUAUUUUUCUUUAAAAAAAAAAAAAGCCUCCAUCAGUCCUCUAGAAA